rnacentral:rRNA from 1 species
AUGCUCCCAAGAUUUCAGUUUUCAAAGACAAACAGGACACAUAUAAAUGAGUUCGAUUUGAAGAGUAAUCGCAAGCCACCUCUAAGCCUUCUGGUUGUAGACGUAGGUGAGGCCGCACUUGCCGCAGUAAUGACGAUCGAAGUGGUUGGCCAUGAAGGUCCCGGCACCGCACUCCGCGUUGGGGCACUCCUUCCUGAGCCUGGUUACCUUGCCGGUGGCGUCGUCGACCUUGUAGAACUGGAGGACGGCGAGCUUCACCUUCUUGUGCUUGUGCUUUUGCUUCUUGGGCUUGGUGUACGUCUUCUUCUUGCGCUUCUUGGCGCCACCACGGAGGCGGAGCACCAGGUGAAGGGUGGACUCCUUCUGGAUGUUGUAGUCGGCGAGGGUGCGGCCGUCCUCGAGCUGCUUGCCGGCGAAGAUGAGGCGCUGCUGGUCCGGCGGGAUCCCCUCCUUGUCCUGGAUCUUGGCCUUCACGUUGUCGAUGGUGUCCGAGGACUCCACCUCCAGCGUGAUGGUCUUGCCCGUCAGGGUCUUCACGAAGAUCUGCAUCUUGGCGGCGGUGGGGUGGUCGCCUCCGCGCGCUGCGGCGGCGACGGCAGUGGCGGCGGCGGGUUGGGUUUGGGCGCGGCGGCGGGGUGGAAUGGAGGCUAG